rfam:Rhodococcus jostii RHA1 plasmid pRHL1, complete sequence.
UUGCCGGUGCAAGUCCGGUCCGGGUAACUGCCAGGAGGCCCGGUAGCAGGCUGGCGGCAUCGGGGGGAAACGCCCGGUGUCGAAGCCCAGCGUCAAAAGCCCUUCAAGGGGGAGCAACCGAGUGGUCCGUAGCAUCA